UGGGGAAUAUUGCACAAUGGGGGAAACCCUGAUGCAGCGACGCCGCGUGAACGAAGAAGGUAUUCGUAUCGUAAAGUUCUGUCCUAUGGGAAGAUAAUGACAGUACCAUAGAAGAAAGCUCCGGCUAAAUACGUGCCAGCAGCCGCGGUAAUACGUAUGGAGCGAGCGUUGUCCGGAAUUAUUGGGCGUAAAGGGUACGCAGGCGGUUUAAUAAGUCGAAUGUUAAAGAUCGGGGCUCAACCCCGCAAAGCAUUGGAAACUGAUAAACUUGAGUAGUGGAGAGGAAAGUGGAAUUCCUAGUGUAGUGGUGAAAUACGUAGAUAUUAGGAGGUAUACCAGUAGCGAAGGCGACUUUCUGGACACAAACUGACGCUGAGGUACGAAAGCGUGGGGAGCAAACAGG
rnacentral:rRNA from 1 species